rnacentral:lncRNA from 1 species
AGCCAACUACUAAAGGAACAGCCACUGAAGAAGAAUGAGCGUUUCUUGGAGUGGAAGGAUUUACAAGUGACACAGAAGGUGAAGGUGAAACAUCUUGUGUAGAUGAUCUCUUUUGUGGCUCUGGAACUGUUGAAGAUUUAGUUGAAACAUGUUUAGGAGAAGGUUGUGGUGACGAUGAUGGUGUUAUAGUUGCAGCCACAACACGGUUUUUGCGGUCUUUUCUCGAAGGUAAAUCUUUGUAAGGGUAACGGACAAGUGUUUUCCUGUGAAAUCCAAAAGCUUUCCUAUCAAAAGGUAGAAAACGAAAUUGAAGCCAUUGCCAAAACAUGCUCUAAAAUAAAGAUCAAAAUAUAGUAAGUUACAGUAUAUAGUUUAUAAGCAUGAUUAAGUGUCGGUUACAAAUUGUGAAAUAAAUUUGUAGAUCUCUACCAACCCCGUUGGCCGUUGGGACUUUGAUGCUAUAGAUGAGUUCUAUAAAGGUGAUAUGCCAGAUUGGCCAUCGAAUGAUGAUAAGUUACAGUUCUAUGAGGUGAGGUGUUACUUUGACUCAUCUUCUUUGAUGAUAAGUUUCAAUUUCUUUUGAUUCAUCUUCUAUGAGCUCGAGGUGAUCUGUUUUGACUUGUCUUUCUUCAACUAACUUUAGAUGUUUAAAAAUGUAUAGGUGAAUGAAUCAGAGUUGCGAGACAAUGAAUGGCUUCAUCUAUAUGCUGAAGUUGCAUUGUUCUCCGAGUGGGAAUCUGACAUGGUGAGGAUAUUAAAAGCAUAUAGAUAUGUGAGCUUAGGACAUUCUUUUCUCAAGUCGAGCAAUGCAAUCUUCUACAUGAGUUUCAAGGUUCGUGAAGGUCCCGAUUGCAGAGGUAUAAUAAGAAAAACAAGUGAUGGAAGAACAGGACAUAUGCGCCUUGAAGCUAGAUGUUGGAUCGACAAGUAAAUACGAUGGUGGCUAGUAUUUCGAUAUUUUGUGGAUUAUCUUGCAAUGUUUAAGUAAUUUACGGCAUGAUUCAUUUAUUUAUGCAUGGUAAUAAUAUAGUUACUUAACUUGAAGAGGACAAGAAACUUGGAUUUUACUAGAUAACUACAAAAGACACGUAUAAAACUCAGCUUUUGUUGGUGAAUGGCUCUCUUCUUACGCCGUAGACAAGACCUCCAAUUCUGGCCACCAAAGAGGUGAGAACUUAGACGUUGCAUCGUUAGCCGUGAUUUCCCAUAACCAACCGUGACUUCUUGCAUUCUCGAUCUUCUUAUUAUAAGAUUCUAGUGUUGGCCAGAGUGUCUCUCCUAUUAAAAAAUCAACCAGGCCCCUAUCUACCGAGUCGAGUUUGUUAACCGAUUCCGGGAGUUUCCCGGUUAUCAUUUCAAAUAAUAAUAAACCAUUUUUGUCAAUUAGGCCUGUGAGCUUUUCUUUUAAAAAAAAAAAAUAGUGAUUUUGAAUUUGGAUUUAAAUAUUGACUCAUAAAUCUUAAUUGAACCGGGUUGUGACAUGCUUAACCCGGACUCGGUUAUAUGGGCGAUUCCCGUUUGAACCGGUCGGUGUUAAAUCACUAUUCAUUUGUCUUAACCAUCAUUGAUUGAUUUGGGGUUAAAAAGGAAAUUGGGGUCUAUUUACAUUAAACCUAAAAAAAAAUCAAUUGGGAAUAGACAAACCCUUGUCGGCUUGUCGUGUCCGUCCAGCAAAACUUAUCAGACUCUCCCAAUCAGUUUGGAAGUAGAAGACGACUGUUCACCGGAAAGAUGUAUGAUGUGAUGUUGGAUGAAGCGAACUUGUGGUUUCACGAAUACGAACCUCCUCUCCGUAGGCGGAAGAUCGAAGAAGCUCCACCUUCACCUGUGGAAGACCUUUAUUUCUCCGACGAAGAAGACAUGAGUCCCGAGGAACGCGAAAAGUAUCGUCUUCAAGUUGUUGAGUCCUGUGUAAUUCUCUUUUAACUCUUUUCAAGUUUUGACGCUUACAAGAUUUGUGCUUUCGUAUCAUACAAUUGAUUUUUGGAUUUUGGUAAUUAGGGAUUCGAUGUUGAUUUCUUCAAGCAUACGUUUAAUGGGAUAAUGCCAAGUGGAUGUUGUCCCUAUGACACACUCUUCGCAAAGGCAGGACUCCAUUGUUACAAUCUUGAAAAGGUUUACUCUUUUCUUUUCUCUUUGAUAUUACUCUCUCCUCCUUGUGAGCUACUAUUGUAGAAUGUUGAUAUUCGUCACUGGUCAUUGUUUCUACCUUGUAGGGGAAGAACUUACAGUUCAAGACUGUAGUAAAAGUUAACGCCGAAAUCGGUUCCCUUUACAAUUCCUAUUCAACAUCUGAGGUGAUGGAUCCGGUUAACAACUCUCUUCACACUUUCCAAACUUUAGUCACGGAUGCAGGGAAGAUGAACAAAGCGCGCUUGAUACUUGUCACAAAAAUAUGCAGACUUAAGCCUCAAGUACCAGGUGUGGAAAGACUUUCAUGACUUGGUUUGUAAUUUGUCAUUAACGUUGCCAUGAAGAUUAUCAUACGCUUGUAAAACAUGGUUAAUCAUUUGGACAUGUUUUAGGCAUUGGAGAUGCAAAUGGCCGUUGGGACUUUGAUGCUAUAGAUGAUUUCUAUAAAGGUGAUAUGCCAGAUUGGCCACCGAAUGGUGCAUGUACUAAAGGUGAUAAGCUACUACAGUUCUAUGAGGUGAGGUGUUAGUUUUUUACUCAUUUAAUACAUAAUGUAAUCCAUCUUUAGUGUUUUUGCUUGUAUACAAGAUUAUCUUUUUUUCCAACUAAUUUUAGAUGUUUAAAACUGCAGGUGAAGGAAUCAGAGUUGCGAGACAAUGAAUGGAUUUCUCUAUAUGCUGAAGCUGCAUUGUUCUCCGAGUGGCACUCUGACAUGGUGAGGAUAUAAUAGCAUAUAGAUAUGUGAACAUAGGACAUCCAUUUCUCAAAAAACCUUUUUUUAAUUUGCAGAGUGCUUAUACACCAUUUGAGAUGAAGAAAGUAGUGGUACAAACAAAAGAAGAUGUAGACUCGAGUAUGAAGCUCAAGUCGAGCAAUGCAAUCUUCUACAUGACUUUCAAGGUUCGUGAAGGUCCCGAUUGCAGAGGGAUAGUAAGAAAAACAAGUGAUGGAAGAACAGGACAUAUGCGCCUUGAAGCUAGAUGUUGGAUCGACAAGUAAAGCUGAUAAUGACCAGUAAUCUGAUUUUGUGUGGUCUUUUUUUUAUGUAUUGAUCUUGCUAUGUUUAAAUGGUAUCUAUCUAUGGCAGAAGUAGCAAAGUUCGCACUACUUGUUUCCCUCUGGAUUUUUUUUUAUAAUUAAAAUGCUCUAUUUAAGAUGUGCGCUUUUAUCAACUAUCUUAUAUCUUGUUUCAAGGAAAUUACUUUGAUGUGCAAACACUUGAUGCGAUGAGAUAAACUAAAAGUGUUUUGCAAACGAUGCAGACAGUUGUUAGUAGCAAAAGACAAAAUCAAACUCUUGUUUUCACUUCACAAACACAGACUCAGUUGAGUUUACUAGCUCCAUGCCUUUUCUUCCGCCUCUCUUCCUCUUCCCGUGAGAGUAAUCUCGGAUAGCUGAAUCUUCUGAGCAAUGGACUUGGUUCAGCAAAGUAGGUAUUCGCCUUAGUGUUAAUCUCUUCACCCGGAGUGGGUACAUAAACAAGCAUAAUAUCUAUUGAGAUCUUCAUGUAACCGUUUUUUCCAAACUUAUCGCCAUGACUUGAUCUCGCCACUACGUAUUUUUCCCCAUUCUCCUCAUCUGCUGCUACUAGUGAAACGGCAUGCAGUCCAACGAGCCUUGACCUUUGAAGUACAGGCCCUCGAUAGAUCUUCAAACAAAAAACCAAACCAAUAUUAGCUUGCAUGAUAAAUUUAACACUGCAAAACAACGCAUAACUUACAUUUUCUCCAAUUUCAUUGUACUCUGGGAAAAACAUUGCCACAGCAGCUCCGAUGGGUUGGUGCUUAAGUUGGAGAAGCGCUUCCUCGAUUGUAUCUAUUCUCUUGAAGUCUUUGAUGUACCCUAAUCCCGAUAAGACACGAUCAGGAAUAUAUUGAGGACAUCCCGUGAAUGGUCUAUCUUCUUCUCUUUGAAUCCCAUUUUCCAUUACGUAACGCAUUCCUCUGUUGAUGCUUGAGGUGUAGCAGUAGUGACCGUCAUUGCGAACUUGUCUUCGCUGCACCGGAUCUGUAAAAUCAAUCAAAUCUUGCACAGAGUACUCUAUGUUAGGAUCUGUGUCACGACCGUUAAUCAAUCUCACUGCCCUUAUAAGAUCUCUUGCAACGACAGCCCAGCAAAUAUCUGAAAACAUACGAAAACAAACUUCGUUAACUAAAUUUUUUGUUAAGAAAAAUGUUAUAUGUUUUGUUCUUACCGUGAUCUAGUUGGUUUGCCACUAUCCCCAUAAUGAUUGCCCAAUCCACAUCAUCUAAGCAAACGGGAAAGAUCUGUACCUCAAAACAAAUAAGAAUUAUAAACAUAAAUUCAUCUAAAUUUCAUUACUAUUAACAAACGUACGAUAAAAUCUUAUACCCUGCGUUUGAUAUACGAUGCAAAUCUCACAUGCUUGAUAUCUCCACUUGAAUCGUCAAUGUAUUCGGUGACUUUAACUUUGGAAUCAGGUUUAGUUCUCAUUAUGCUUAAUAAAAUAUCAUGCGGAACGAUACGAAAGACCUCAGCCACUAAUGGUUGAAGUUGUGGGUCAGUCAAUGCUAAAAUCUGCUCAAAUAUGGGUAACAUUUCGUCAGGAACAGCAGCAAGCACCUGAAAAACAUCACAUUCGAAAUCCAAGAUUAAGAAUAAAACCGUGAAAGAUUAAGUGAGAUUUUAUACAGACAAUCAAGACCAGAAACAAAGACCAAACAUAUCUAACUAACUAUGUCUCUUCCAUUACCAAAGUAAACUUAACUACACCACAAAAAUCAACUUUUAUUAUCAUAUACUUACUACAUCACAUUCGAAAUCCAAGAUUUAGAAUGAACCCGUGAAAGAUUAAGUGAGAUUUUAUACAGACAAUUAAGAGCAGAAGCAAAGACCAAACAUAUCUAACUAUGUCUCUUUCAUCACCAAAGUAAACUUAAUUACACAACAAAAAUCAACUUUUUAUUAUCAUAUACUUACUUCUGCAGGUGUAGUGUCUGAGCUCUCACCUCUUUGUGCCAUAUUUGAAGUUAGGAUCUGCAUUUUAAAUUUUAGCAAAAACUUAGCAGACAAGUUUCAAAAAGACAAACAGAGUAAACCAACAGUUUCCAUUUAAGAAGUAAUACAAAAAAAAAACUAAGGACUACUUGUAGACAUAUAUAGAACAACAUAACAGAAAUGAACAAGGUAAGUUUCUUACUAGCCAGAAAGGCAGAAACCACUAGAAUCUUGUAACUUAAUUUCUCUGUUCUCCAAAACUCUCUUCCUUUUAAACGUCAAAAGUGAGAUAAAAUGUUUCUGUGUUCUAACUCUAGAGGGAAACUUGUCACUAUAAAGAUUGCAGAGUUACAUAAUGUCUUUACGCUAUAAAUUUUUCCUUCUAGUUAUCUGCACCCAUUGAACACAACAUUGACCAUUAACACUAAUAUGGGGAGAUAUACAAUAUCUACUCAUCUUACUUCUGAAUCCACUCCUUACUAAAUAUAGAAAUUUCAGAAGCAACUUUAACUUUUUGACCCAUCACAGUUAAUUAUUUCGUUCGUAAAUGUUUUUACUCUCCUUAUUUUUAUUGGAUGUCAAUUUUUUUUUUCCUUUAGCCUUUCGCUCCACAAUCAACUGAUUCAAAAGGAAAAGAAAAAAAAAAAAAGUAUUUGCCAAGUUAUUCACGAAUAAAAUAUCUCUUCAAGCAUGAAUAAAAUAUUUUUGCACACUUAUAUUCUUAAAGUAUUUGGCAAUUUCUCCUCUAUCAUUUUGCUACAUAAUAACACUGAACAAAAGAAUGCAUUCAUAUAGAAGAAGAAGGAUAUAAUUUUUACAAGAUUGUUUCCGACAUGCACACUAAUUCAUCUAUACAUGUUUAUAGAGUUACUUAACUUGAGAGAACUUCAAUUUUGUUUUACCAAUAUUACUAGAGAUAACUAGAAAAGACACUUACAAAACUAACAUCUUCAAAAUAUAUACAGUUUUAUUGGUGAAGGGCCUCUCUUAAGCCGUGGACAAAACCUCCAACUCUGCCCACCAAAGAGGUGACAAUUUCGGCGUAGCAUCAUUCGGUGAUAUUCCCGUGAUCUCCCGUAACCAUCCUGUGACUUCCCGCAUUGUAGGUCUCUCUUUCGGGUCGGUCCUGAGGCAUGAUUUGAUCACUUCACCUAUAUUCUCAAUCUUGUCAUCAUAAGAUUCCAGUGUUGGAUCUACCAUCUUGGCUAGAGUCUCUCCUCUUAAGAAAUCAACCAGCGCGCUAUCUACCGAGUCAGGUUUGUUAACCGAUUCUGGGAGUUUCCCGCUUAUCAUUUCGAAUAAUAGUAAACCGAAGCUGUAAACGUUUUCUUCUGGAUUCAAGACUGAGAUGUUUGUGUCUAUGACUGUGUCGUUGAUGCUAGUCUCUGUCUCAGAUGGACCGAAACUGAAAUCCGAUACUUUGACAGCAUAAUCCUCUGUGAGCUGAAGAGAUGACGAGACGAGAUUGGUGUGAGCUAUAGGUGGAUUGAGUUGGUGCAUAUGGUCAAGGCAAUAUGCUAAUCCCAUUGCAAUUCUUAACCGCAUUCCCCAAUCCAAGUGUUCUGAUUCUUUAACUGUAAUAAAAAAAAUAUGUUUUGAUUCCCUUUAGAUCACAAAGAAAACAAGCCAACAUGUGACAUUGUGUAGCUAGCUUAUGACAAAAGUACUCACAGUGUAAAUGCUCAAAGAGUGAUCCAUUUGGAGCAUACUCAAAGAUCAAGAUCCUAGUGAAAGGUUCCUUUUCUUCACAAUACCCAAGAAGGUUUGCAAAAUUCUUGUGGUUGAUCUUCGAUAACAUUUCGAUCUGAAAUUGUGAAACAGAACACGCUAAAGUCGACUAUAUAUUGUUAUUAUAAGAAAUCAAAAAUGGGAAGAACCAUACCUUCUUCCUAAAGUGAAUUUCUGUAUUGUCCUUCCAGUCUUUGGCAGAGGUAGUAGCAAAAGAAGCAACAGCAAUCUCCACUCCACUUGAUAAUGUUCCUUUGAACAAUUUCCCAAUGGGGCAAGAUCCAAUGACAUUACUAAAAUCUUCACAUGCAGCUUCAAUCUCAGAUCUUUUAAGUACAGGUAUACCUGAGUAUCAAAAAAUCAAACAUUGAUGAAACCAAAACAUAUUAUGCCAUGUAACAAUUUAAGAAAGAAAAUUACCAGUUACGAAUACUUUCUGAAGUUGUCCGCUAAGACCAGUACGCCAAGGAUUCACAGUUUUCCCGGCCUUACUAGUGAAACAGUAGACACCGGUAACUACAAGAAGAAGAAAAAAGGCACCGCCUACGCAGCCAAUCACUAAAGGAACGGCCACUGAAGAAGAAUGAGCGUUUCUUGGAGUGGGAGGAUUUACAAGUGACACAGAAGGAGAAGGUGAAACAUUUUGUGUAGAUGAUCUCAUUUGUGGCUCCGGAACUGUUGAAGAUCUAGUUGAAACAUGUUUAGGAGAAGGUUUUGGGGAUGAUGAUGGUGUUACAGUUGCAGCCACAACGCGGUUUCUGCGGUCUUUUCUCGAAGGCAAAUCUUUGUUAGGGUAACGGACAAGUGUUUUCCUGUGAAAUCCAAAAGCUUUCCUAACAAAAGGUAGAAAAAUAAAUUAUAGCCAUUGCAAAAGCAUGCUCUAAAAUAAAGAUCAAAAUACGGUAAGUUAUAUAUAGUUUACAAGCAUGAAUAAGUGUCGGUUACAAGUAACAACAGUUUCUUCUACCAUACAUAGAUAGAGAAAAUGAAGCUACGGAAUGGUUAGAGAAAUUUGUAGAUCUACCAACCC